GGCUCAANCAAUGUAUGCUUUGGAAACUGUUAGACUUGAGUGCAGAAGGGGAGAGUGGAAUUCCAUGUGUAGCGGUGAAAUGCGUAGAUAUAUGGAGGAACACCGGUGGCGAAAGCGGCUCUCUGGUCUGUCACUGACGCUGAGGCUCGAAAGCGUGGGUAGCGAACAGGAUUAGAUACCCUGGUAGUNCACGCCGUAAACGCUGAGUGCUAGGUGUUAGGUCCNUUCCGGGACUUAGUGCCGACGCUAACGCAUUAAGCACUCCGCCUGGGGAGUACGACCGCAAGGUUGAAACUCAAAGGAAUUGACGGGGGCCCGCACAAGCGGUGGAGCAUGUGGUUUAAUUCGAAGCAACGCGAAGAACCUUACCAGGUCUUGACAUCCCGAUGCCCGCUCUAGAGAUAGAGUUUUUCUUCGGAACAUCGGAGACAGGUGGUGCAUGGUUGUCGUCAGCUCGUGUCGUGAGAUGUUGGGUUAAGUCCCGCAACGAGCGCAACCCUUAUUGUUAGUUGCCAUCAUUAAGUUGGGCACUCUAGCGAGACUGCCGGUAAUAAACCGGAGGAAGGUGGGGAUGACGUCAAAUCAUCAUGCCCCUUAUGACCUGGGCUACACACGUGCUACAAUGGUUGGUACAACGAGUCGCAAGCCGGUGACGGCAAGCUAAUCUCUGAAAGCCAAUCUCAGUUCGGAUUGUAGGCUGCAACUCGCCUACAUGAAGUCG
rnacentral:rRNA from 1 species